CUACGGGUCGCUGCAGUGGGGAAUAUUGCACAAUGGGCGCAAGCCUGAUGCAGCCAUGCCGCGUGUAUGAAGAAGGCCUUCGGGUUGUAAAGUACUUUCAGCGGGGAGGAAGGGAGUAAAGUUAAUACCUUUGCUCAUUGACGUUACCCGCAGAAGAAGCACCGGCUAACUCCGGUGCCAGCAGCCGCGGUAAUACGGAGGGUGCAAGCGUUAAUCGGAAUUACUGGGCGUAAAGCGCACGCAGGCGGUUUGUUAAGUCAGAUGUGAAAUCCCCGGGCUCAACCUGGGAACUGCAUCUGAUACUGGCAAGUUUGAGUCUCGUAGAGGGGGGUAGAAUUCCAGGUGUAGCGGUGAAAUGCGUAGAGAUCUGGAGGAAUACCGGUGGCGAAGGCGGCCCCCUGGACGAAGACUGACGCUCAGGCGCGAAAGCGUGGGGAGCAAACAGGAUUAGAUACCCGCGUAGUC
rnacentral:rRNA from 1 species